GAUGAACGCUGGCGGCGUGCCUAAUACAUGCAAGUAGAACGCUGAAGGAGGAGCUUGCUCUUCUGGAUGAGUUGCGAACGGGUGAGUAACGCGUAGGUAACCUGCCUGGUAGCGGGGGAUAACUAUUGGAAACGAUAGCUAAUACCGCAUGACAACAGUUAUUGCAUGAUAACUGUUUAAAAGGGGCAACUGCUCCACUACCAGAUGGACCUGCGUUGUAUUAGCUAGUUGGUGAGGUAACGGCUCACCAAGGCGACGAUACAUAGCCGACCUGAGAGGGUGAUCGGCCACACUGGGACUGAGACACGGCCCAGACUCCUACGGGAGGCAGCAGUAGGGAAUCUUCGGCAAGGGACGGAAGUCUGACCGAGCAACGCCGCGGGAGUGAAGAAGGUUUUCGGAUCGUAAAGCUCUGUUGUAAGAGAAGAACGAGUGUGAGAGUGGAAAGUUCACACUGUGACGGUAUCUUACCAGAAAGGGACGGCUAACUACGUG
rnacentral:rRNA from 1 species